rnacentral:piRNA from 1 species
UGUCUUGGUUGUCAGAAACUGUGAUGUGCU